rnacentral:rRNA from 1 species
GGGGAAUAUUGGGCAAUGGGGGAAACCCUGACCCAGCAACGCCGCGUGAAGGAAGAAGGCCUUCGGGUUGUAAACUUUUGUCCUAUGGGACGAAAAAAAUGACGGUACCAUAGGAGGAAGCUCCGGCUAACUACGUGCCAGCAGCCGCGGUAAUACGUAGGGAGCAAGCGUUGUCCGGAAUUACUGGGCGUAAAGGGUGCGUAGGUGGCCAUGUAAGUCAGGUGUGAAAGACCGGGGCUCAACCCCGGGGUUGCACUUGAAACUGUGUGGCUUGAGUACAGGAGAGGGAAGUGGAAUUCCUAGUGUAGCGGUGAAAUGCGUAGAUAUUAGGAGGAACACCAGUGGCGAAGGCGACUUUCUGGACUGUAACUGACACUGAGGCACGAAAGCGUGGGGAGCAAAC